UACGGAGGGUGCAAGCAUUAAUCGGAAUUAUUGGGCGUAAAGGGCGCGUAGGCGGAUGUAAAAGUCAGAUGUGAAAUUCCGAGGCUCAACUUCGGAACUGCAUUUGAAACUUUACGUCUAGAGGAUUGGCGGAGAAAACGGAAUUCCACGUGUAGCGGUGAAAUGCGUAGAUAUGUGGAAGAACACCUGUGGCGAAAGCGGUUUUCUAGCUAAAUCCUGACGCUGAGGCGCGAGAGCAAGGGGAGCAAAC
rnacentral:rRNA from 1 species